rnacentral:rRNA from 1 species
ACGGAAGGCAGCAGUGAGGAAUAUUGGUCAAUGGGCGCAGGUCUGAACCAGCCAAAUCGCGUGAGGGAUGGCGGUCCUAUGGAUUGUAAACCUCUUUUGUCGGGGAGUAACGUGCGGGACGUGUCCCGUCUUGAGAGUACCCGAAGAAAAAGCAUCGGCUAACUCCGUGCCAGCAGCCGCGGUAAUACGGAGGAUGCGAGCGUUAUCCGGAUUUAUUGGGUUUAAAGGGAGCGCAGGCGGCGCGUCAAGUCAGCGGUAAAAUGUCGGGGCGCAACCCCGGCCGGCCGUUGAAACUGCCGUGCUCGAGUUCGUGCGAGGAGAGCGGAAUGCGUGGUGUAGCGGUGAAAUGCAUAGAUAUCACGCAGAACGCCGAUUGCGAAGGCAGCCCUCCAGCACUGGACUGACGCUGAGGCUCGAAAGCGUGGGUAUCGAACAGGAUUAGAUACCCUGGUA